GAAUGGCAUCACGAGGGUUAAGCUGUCUCCCUUUUUUAAUCAGUGAAACUAAUCUCCCCGUGAAGAAGCGAGGAUAAAUUUAUAAGACGAGAAGACCCUAUGGAGCUUUAAACUAAGCAACAAUUGCUAUUAAAUUUAUUAUUCCAGAACAUAGCCCACAUCUUAACAAUAUGAUUGCUAGUUUUCGGUUGGGGUGACCGCGGAGUAUAAUUCAACCUCCACGAUGAAGGAAACUUUAUUUCUUAGCCCAGAGUUACAACUCUAAGCACCAAAAAUUUGACAUAAAUUGAUCCAAUCUGUUUGAUCAACGAACCAAGUUACCCUAGGGAUAACAGCGCAAUCCACUUCAAGAGCCCCUAUCGACAAGUGG
rnacentral:rRNA from 1 species